rnacentral:rRNA from 1 species
UUUUUGUCGUAGCUUGCUAUGAUAAAAAUUAGUGGCAGACGGGUGAGUAAUGCAUAGGAAUCUACCUAGUAGUAUGGGAUAGCCACUAGAAAUGGUGGGUAAUACUGUAUAAUCCCUGCGGGGGAAAGAUUUAUCGCUAUUAGAUGAGCCUAUGUUAGAUUAGCUAGUUGGUAGGGUAAAGGCCUACCAAGGCAGUGAUCUAUAGCUGGUCUGAGAGGAUGAUCAGCCACACUGGAACUGAGAUACGGUCCAGACUCCUACGGGAGGCAGCAGUGGGGAAUAUUGGACAAUGGGCGCAAGCCUGAUCCAGCUAUGCCGCGUGAGUGAGGAA